UAUUUGUUGUAACUAUCAUCAUGGUCUAAACUAGGUGUUCAGGGUAGCAUCAUGGUCUACACUAGGUGUUCAGGGUAUCACCAAGGUCUAAACUAGGUGUUCAGGGUAUCAUCAUGGUCUAAACUAGGUGUUCAGGGUAUCACCAAGGUCUACACUAGGUGUUCAGGGUAUCAUCAUGGUCUACACUAGGUGAUCAGGGUAUCAUCAUGGUCUACACUAGGUGUUCAGGGUAUCAUCAUGGUCUACACUAGGUGUUCAGGGUAUCAUCAUGGUCUUGACAAGGUGUUCAGGGUAUCAUCAUGGUCUACACUAGGUGUUCAGGGUAUCACCAAGGUCUAAACUAGGUGUUCAGGGUAUCACUACGGUCUACACUAGGUGUUCAGGAUAUCAUCAUGGUCUUGACAAGGUGUUCAGGGUAUCAUCAUGGUCUACACUAGGUGUUCAGGGUAUCACUACGGUCAACACUAGGUGUUCAGGGUAUCACCAUGGUCUACACUAGGUGUUCAGGGUAUCAUCAUGGUCUACACUAGGUGUUCAGGGUAUCAUCAUGGUCUACACUAGGUGUUCAGGGUAUCAUCAUGGUCUACACUAGGUGUUCAGGGUAUCAUCAUGGUCUACACUAGGUGUUCAGGGUAUCACCAUGGUCUACACUAGGUGUUCAGGGUAUCAUCAUGGUCUUGACAAGGUGUUCAGGGUAUCACCAUGGUCUACACUAGGUGUUCAGGGUAUCACCAUGGUCUAAACUAGGUGUUCAGGGUAUCAUCAUGGUCUACACUAGGUGUUCAGGGUAUCACCAUGGUCUACACUAGGUGUUCAGGGUAUCAUCAUGGUCUACACUAGGUGUUCAGGGUAUCAUCAUGGUCUAAACUAGGUGUUCAGGGUAUCAUCAUGGUCUACACUAGGUGUUCAGGGUAUCACCAUGGUUUACACUAGGUGUUCAGGGUAUCACCAUGGUCUACACUAGGUGUUCAGGGUAUCAUCAUGGUCUACACUAGGUGUUCAGGGUAUCAUCAUGGUCUACACUAGGUGUUCAGGGUAUCAUCAUGGUCUACACUAGGUGUUCAGGGUAUCAUCAUGGUCUACACUAGGUGUUCAGGGUAUCACCAUGGUCUACACUAGGUGUUCAGGGUAUCAUCAUGGUCUACACUAGGUGUUCAGGGUAUCAUCAUGGUCUAAACUAGGUGUUCAGGGUAUCAUCAUGGUCUACACUAAGUGUUCAGGGUAUCAUCAUGGUCUACACUAGGUGUUCAGGGUAUCAUCAUGGUCUACACUAGGUGUUCAGGGUAUCAUCGUGGUCUACACUAGGUGUUCAGGGUAUCAUCAUGGUCUACACUAGGUGUUCAGGGUAUCACCAUGGUCUUAACUAGGUGUUACCUAGUUACCUUGUUACCAAGGUUACCACAACAUCUCAAGGGGAGAGAAGUAUUGUUCUAA